GGUGGAAGCAUGCUAGCUCUUGAAACCUUAAAGCGUGUUGUAGUUGCAGGGAAUCGAGCAAGAGAUGCACUUGUUGCACAGGGUCUCAAGGUUGAUCUUGUGGAAGUUCUUCUUGGCCUUCUUGACUGGCGAGCUGGGGGAAGAAAUGGGCUUUGUUCACAGAAUAACUGGAAUGAAAGCAGCAAUUACCCGGGUUCUUCAAAUUGAGAUGGUCUAGAUGGUUUGAUUUCCAUACAGGCAACGAAGAAAAUUACACCGCCAAACUUGCGAAAGACUUUCAGGCAUAUUUGAAAGUCUGCUUAGAGGGAGACGGCGAGUACUCCUUUUGUUCCCCAAGCCAUCUUCCUUCUAGCUACUCAGCAGACGAUGCAGAUAUAAGAGUCCGAUAAAGUGAGCUCGUCUUGUGAAUCUAGGAGGUACACCAAUUAAGGAAUUUUAACGUUUGUGGUAAAUGUAAUUUAAAAAUGGCAAACAUAUAAUAAACCAUCUUUUCAUCAACAGGCCAUUGUAAAUUUGGUUCAGCCUGAAAUUGAAAUGAGAUUCACUAUUUGCGGAGUAUACAUAGUGUUUGUAACUUUGUACAAGUACUUGCAUUUGUGGUUUCUCAUCCAACAUAUGUUAUGGUACCCGUCGCAUGUGCAACUUCAUCAAAUUUGUCUUGUCGCCAUCUAAUUUAUAGUUCUUUCUUUUUCUUUCAUUUUUGUCUUCCAUCUUUCUUUUAAACUCUUCCAAUGAAGUUCAUCACAUAAUUUUCUUUCAGUUGCAUUUGCUACACUUGUUGAGAAGACCACGGUGAUGUUUCCGGAAGUGUUUUAGUAUUGGUGCUCCGUGGUGCAGCAUAAGAAUUGGCGGGUGAUUAGUACAGUUGUUGAACAAAACCUUCCUGCCAAAAAGGUAUUACUCGAGGACAACGUCAAAUCAUUCAUCAGAUGGAUACUCUGAGCAGGCUCCUACAUGAAUAUUAUGGGAAAAAAGCUCUCAUCAAGGACGAAUACAUAGCAUAUGACUCUUUGGUUGU